AAAUGGGAAUUCUAUCAAUCCGAAUGGG
rnacentral:sRNA from 1 species